rnacentral:rRNA from 1 species
GACGAACCGUGCGAACGUUAUUCGGAAUCACUGGGCUUAAAGCGCGUGUAGGCGGAUGGGCACGUCGGUCGCUGAAAGCCCCCGGCUCAACUGGGGAGGGUCACGGGUAACGGCAGUGCUCUGAGUGCAGGAGAGGGAAGUGGAACUCCGGGAGUAGCGGUGAAAUGCGUAGAGACCCGGAGGAACACCGGUGGCGAAGGCGGCUUCCUGGGUCAAGAUUGACGCUCAUGCACGAAAGCGUGGGGAGCAAACAGG